rnacentral:rRNA from 1 species
AUUGAACGCUGGCGGCAUGCCUUACACAUGCAAGUCGAACGGCAGCCCGGGAGCAAUUCUGGUGGCGAGUGGCGAACGGGUGAGUAAAGUAUCGGAACGUGCCCAGUCGUGGGGGAUAACGUAGCGAAAGUUACGCUAAUACCGCAUACGAUCUAUGAAUGAAAGCGGGGGAUCGCAGGACCUCGCGCGAUUGGAGCGGCCGAUAUCAGAUUAGGUAGUUGGUGGGGUAAAGGCUCACCAAGCCGACGAUCUGUAGCUGGUCUGAGAGGACGACCAGCCACACUGGGACUGAGACACGGCCCAGACUCCUACGGGAGGCAGCAGUGGGGAAUUUUGGACAAUGGGCGCAAGCCUGAUCCAGCCAUGCCGCGUGCAGGAUGAAGGCCUUCGGGUUGUAAACUGCUUUUGUACGGAACGAAAAGGUUUGACUUAAUACGUUGGACUCAUGACGGUACCGUAAGAAUAAGCACCGGCUAACUACGUGCCAGCAGCCGCGGUAA